rnacentral:rRNA from 1 species
GACGAACGCUGGCGGCGUGCCUAAUACAUGCAAGUCGAGCGAAUGACGAGAAGCUUGCUUCUCUGAUUUAGCGGCGGACGGGUGAGUAACACGUGGGCAACCUGCCCUACAGAUCGGGAUAACUCAGGGAAACCUGGGCUAAUACCGGAUAAUCCUUCGAAUCACAUGUUUUGAAGUUGAAAGGCGCUUCGGCGUCACUGUAGGAUGGGCCCGCGGUGCAUUAGCUUGUUGGUGGGGUAACGGCCUACCAAGGCAACGAUGCAUAGCCGACCUGAGAGGGUGAUCGGCCACAUUGGGACUGAGACACGGCCCAAACUCCUACGGGAGGCAGCAGUAGGGAAUCUUCCACAAUGGACGAAAGUCUGAUGGAGCAACGCCGCGUGAGUGAUGAAGGUUUUCGGAUCGUAAAACUCUGUUGUAAGGGAAGAACAAGUACGUUAGGAAAUGAACGUACCUUGACGGUACCUUAUUAGAAAGCCACGGCUAACUUCGUGCCAGCCGCCGCGGUAA